AGAGUUUGAUCCUGGCUCAGAGCGAACGUUAGCGGCAGGCCUAACACAUGCAAGUCGCACGAGAAUGGGGCUUCGGCCCUUAGUAAAGUGGCGGACGGGUGAGUAACACGUGGAUAAUCUGCCUUCGGCGGGGGACAACAGUCCGAAAGGAUUGCUAAUACCGCAUACGUCAGCGAGGUCUUCGGACCUUGUUGGGAAAG
rnacentral:rRNA from 1 species